rnacentral:pre_miRNA from 1 species
UGGGGGGUGGGGUGGUUGUCCCUCAGCCUCGAUUGCGAAGAGAGUGCAGGCCAGGCUGAGGGACCCCACCAGUGCGCA